UAAGUAAAUAAUACAGGGUGUUUCAGCGAAAACGUCAAAAAUGUCAAAAAAUCAAUCAUAACCUCAAAACUAGAACUGUUGGAAGGAAAUGGUUUGUAUGAAAAUUGUAGAUAUUGAACUAAUAAAGCUUAAUUCGUAACAAAGUUUUAUUCGAGCUAUCGCCAUUUUUAAGAAAUGAAGCGAAAACGUCAAAAAAUCAAUCAUAACCUCAAAACUAGAACUGCUGGAAGGAAAUGAAAUAAAGCGAAAACGUCAAAAAUGUCAAAAAAUCAAUCAUAACCUCAAAACUAGAACAGCUGGAAGGAAAUGGUUAGUAUGAAAAUUGUUGAUAUUGAACUAAUAAAGCUUAAUUCAUAACAAAGUUUUAUUCGAGCUAUCGCCAUUUUUUAGGAAUGAAGCGAAAACGUCAAAAAUGUCAAAAAAUCAAUCAUAACCUCAAAACUAGAACAGCUGGAAGGAAAUGGUUUGUAUGAAAAUUGUUGA